rnacentral:rRNA from 1 species
GUUUAGAGUUUGAUCCUGGCUCAGGAUGAACGCUGGCGGCGUGCUUAACACAUGCAAGUCGAGCGGAGAUGGGGAUAAACUUGUUUAGAACUAUCUUAGCGGCGGACGGGUGAGUAACGUGUGGGCAACCUGCCUUAUACAGUGGAAUAGCCACCGGAAACGGUGAUUAAUACCGCAUGUCACGUAGAUACGGCAUCGUAUUUACGGAAAAGGAGCAAUCCGGUAUAAGAUGGGCCCGCAUCUGAUUAGCUAGUUGGUGGGGUAACAGCCUACCAAGGCAACGAUCAGUAGCCGACCUGAGAGGGUGAUCGGCCUCAUUGGGACUGAGACACGGCCCAAACUCCUGCGGGAGGCAGCAGUGGGGAAUAUUGCACAAUGGAGGGAACUCUGAUGCAGCAACGCCGCGUGAAGGAAGAAGGUUUUCGGAUCGUAAACUUCUAUCAACAGGGACGAAAAAAAUGACGGUACCUGAAUAAGAAGCCCCGGCUAACUACGUGCCAGCAGCCGCGGUAAUACGUAGGGGGCAAGCGUUAUCCGGAAUUACUGGGUGUAAAGGGAGAGUAGGCGGCAUGACAAGCAAGAUGUGAAAGCCCGGGGCUUAACCCCGGGACUGCAUAAUGAACUGUCAGGCUAGAGUACAGGAGAGGUAAGCGGAAUUCCUAGUGUAGCGGUGAAAUGCGUAGAUAUUAGGAAGAACACCGGUGGCGAAGGCGGCUUACUGGACUGAAACUGACGCUGAGGCUCGAAAGCGUGGGGAGCGAACAGGAUUAGAUACCCUGGUAGUUCACGCCGUAAACGAUGAGUGCUAGGUGUUGGGGGGAACCCUCGGUGCCGGAGCAAACGCAAUAAGCACUCCACCUGGGGAGUACGGCCGCAAGGUUGAAACUCAAAGGAAUUGACGGGGGCCCGCACAAGCGGUGGAGUAUGUGGUUUAAUUCGAUGCAACGCGAAGAACCUUACCUGGUCUUGACAUCCCGGAGACCCUUAGGAAACUAGGGGGUGCUUCCAUCUGGAAGAAUCUGGAGACAGGUGCUGCAUGGCUGUCGUCAGCUCGUGUCGUGAGAUGUUGGGUUAAGUCCCGCAACGAGCGCAACCCUUGCCUUUAGUUGCCAGCAGUUCGGCUGGGCACUCUAAAGGGACUGCCGGUGUUAAACCGGAGGAAGGUGGGGAUGACGUCAAGUCCUCAUGGCCUUUAUGACCAGGGCUACACACGUACUACAAUGGCCGAUACAAAGGGCAGCGACACUGCGAAGUGAAGCCAAUCCCGUAAAAUCGGUCUCAGUCCGGAUUGGAGUCUGCAACUCGACUCCAUGAAGUUGGAAUCGCUAGUAAUCGUGGAUCAGCAUGCCACGGUGAAUACGUUCCCGGGCCUUGUACACACCGCCCGUCACACCACGGGAGUCGGUUGUACCAGAAGCAGUUGAGCUAACCGCAAGGGGGCAGGCUGCCAAGGUAUGGCUGGUAACUGGGGUGAAGUCGUAACAAGGUAGCCAAAC